rnacentral:rRNA from 1 species
AGUGAACGCUGGCGGUAGGCCUAACACAUGCAAGUCGAACGGCAGCACAGUAAGAGCUUGCUCUUACGGGUGGCGAGUGGCGGACGGGUGAGGAAUACAUCGGAAUCUACUUUUUCGUGGGGGAUAACGUAGGGAAACUUACGCUAAUACCGCAUACGACCUACGGGUGAAAGCAGGGGAUCUUCGGACCUUGCGCGAUUGAAUGAGCCGAUAUCGGAUUAGCUAGUUGGCGGGGUAAAGGCCCACCAAGGCGACGAUCCGUAGCUGGUCUGAGAGGAUGAUCAGCCACACUGGAACUGAGACACGGUCCAGACUCCUACGGGAGGCAGCAGUGGGGAAUAUUGGACAAUGGGCGCAAGCCUGAUCCAGCCAUACCGCGUGGGUGAAGAAGGCCUUCGGGUUGUAAAGCCCUUUUGUUGGGAAAGAAAAGCAGCAGGUUAAUACCCCGCUGUUCUGACGGUACCCAAAGAAUAAGCACCAGCUAACUUCGUG